rnacentral:ribozyme from 14 species
AAGAAAAGAAAAAAAGAAAACAAAAAGAGAGAGAGAGAGAGAGUUGGUUCGAUCCUCUUUCUCUUUGGUUUCUUCUGGUUUCCCUUGUUGUUCUUGUUG